GACGAACGCUGGCGGCGUGCUUAACACAUGCAAGUCGUACGGUAAGGCCCUUUCGGGGGUCCACGAGUGGCGAACGGGUGAGUAACACGUGAGUAACCUGCCCACAACUUUGGGAUAACGCUAGGAAACUGGUGCUAAUACUGGAUAUGUGCUCCUGCUGCAUGGUGGGGGUUGGAAAGCUCCGGCGGUUGUGGAUGGACUCGCGGCCUAUCAGCUUGUUGGUGGGGUAGUGGCCUACCAAGGCGGCGACGGGUAGCCGGCCUGAGAGGGUGACCGGCCACAUUGGGACUGGGAUACGGCCCAGACUCCUACGGGAGGCAGCAGUGGGGAAUAUUGCACAAUGGGCGCAAGCCUGAUGCAGCAACGCCGCGUGCGGGAGGACGGCCUUCGGGUUGGAAACCGCUUUCAGCAGGGACGAAGCUUUUUGUGACGGUACCUGCAGAAGAAGCACCGGCUAACUACGUG
rnacentral:rRNA from 1 species